AUGGGUAGCGAUGAUGUGAGGAGAGUGUCGACGGUUGCUGACAGAAGCUCGCCAGUGAUGGAGGAGUGCGAUCGGAGCUUUAGAACAUCACCGAUGUUGUAUCAUGGUGGAGACAGAGGCAUGGUCAUUUCUGCAAUAUCCGACGCAAUGGUGUUUCGUGGUUGCAGGAUGGUGGUGAACGGUGGAAGCAGCGACAAUUAG